AUUGAACGCUGGCGGCAGGCCUAACACAUGCAAGUCGAGCGGGGUUUUCGGACCUAGCGGCGGACGGGUGAGUAAUGCGUAGGAAGCUACCCGAUAGAGGGGGAUACCAGUUGGAAACGACUGUUAAUACCGCAUAAUGUCUACGGACCAAAGUGUGGGACCUUCGGGCCACAUGCUAUCGGAUGCGCCUACGUGGGAUUAGCUAGUUGGUGAGGUAAUGGCUCACCAAGGCGACGAUCCCUAGCUGGUUUGAGAGGAUGAUCAGCCACACUGGAACUGAGACACGGUCCAGACUCCUACGGGAGGCAGCAGUGGGGAAUAUUGGACAAUGGGCGCAAGCCUGAUCCAGCCAUGCCGCGUGUGUGAAGAAGGCCUUCGGGUUGUAAAGCACUUUCAGUAAGGAGGAAGAGUUGUGUGUUAAUAGUACACAGCUUUGACGUUACUUACAGAAGAAGCACCGGCUAACUCUGUGCCAGCCGCCGCCGUAACAC
rnacentral:rRNA from 1 species